AUUGAACGCUGGCGGCAGGACUAACACAUGCAAGUCGAACGCGUGGCGGACGGGUGUGUAAGGUCUGGGAAACUGCCUGAAGGAGGGGGAUAACUCCUGGAAAAGGUAGCUAAUACCGCAUACCAUUAGCUGUGCCCAGAUGGGAUUAGCUUGUUGGUGGGGUAACGGCUCACCAAGGCGACGAUCCCUAGCUGGUCUGAGAGGAUGAACAGCCACACUGGAACUGAGACACGGUCCAGACUCCUACGGGAGGCAGCAGUGGGGAAUAUUGCACAAUGGGCGCAAGCCUGAUGCAGCCAUGCCGCGUGUAUGAAGAAGGCCUUCGGGUUGUAAAGUACUUUCAGCGGGGAGGCGUUACCCGCAGAAGAAGCACCGGCUAACUCCGUGCCAGCAGCCGCGGUAAUUC
rnacentral:rRNA from 1 species